UCCCUCACUCUUAGGCAUUGAUUUCUGUG
rnacentral:piRNA from 1 species